AUAUUACCCGGGACAGGAGUCCCCUGAUCACGAAAGGGGGUUUUCCCCCGGGCGAGGCACCAAACCCUUGCACUCCCCGGGGGCGGACCCCCCGGCCAUUUAAACCCAAAAUGGUUAACUCAAGGGGCGCAAUUUUUUUUAGCGGGGGACUGCGUUCCCCUAUCCCCAA